CAUGGCUCAGGACGAACGCUGGCGGCGUGCUUAACACAUGCAAGUCGAACGAUGAACCACUUCGGUGGGGAUUAGUGGCGAACGGGUGAGUAACACGUGGGCAAUCUGCCCUUCACUCUGGGACAAGCCCUGGAAACGGGGUCUAAUACCGGAUAACACUCCCACAGGCAUCUGUGGGGGUUGAAAGCUCCGGCGGUGAAGGAUGAGCCCGCGGCCUAUCAGCUUGUUGGUGAGGUAGUGGCUCACCAAGGCGACGACGGGUAGCCGGCCUGAGAGGGCGACCGGCCACACUGGGACUGAGACACGGCCCAGACUCCUACGGGAGGCAGCAGUGGGGAAUAUUGCACAAUGGGCGAAAGCCUGAUGCAGCGACGCCGCGUGAGGGAUGACGGCCUUCGGGUUGUAAACCUCUUUCAGCAG
rnacentral:rRNA from 1 species